CAGUAGCCGCGGUAAUACGGAGGGUGCAAGCGUUAAUCGGAAUUACUGGGCGUAAAGCGUGCGUAGGCGGCUUCUUAAGUCGGAUGUGAAAUCCCUGAGCUUAACUUAGGAAUUGCAUUCGAUACUGGGAAGCUAGAGUAUGGGAGAGGAUGGUAGAAUUCCAGGUGUAGCGGUGAAAUGCGUAGAGAUCUGGAGGAAUACCGAUGGCGAAGGCAGCCAUCUGGCCUAAUACUGACGCUGAGGUACGAAAGCAUGGGGAGCAAACAGGAUUAGAUACCCGCGUAGUCCCUGUCUCUUAUAU
rnacentral:rRNA from 1 species